rnacentral:rRNA from 1 species
UACGGAGGGGGCAAGCGUUGUUCGGAAUUACUGGGCGUAAAGGGCGCGUAGGCGGCCUUCUAAGUCGAACGUGAAAUCCCCGGGCUCAACCCGGGAACUGCGUCCGAUACUGGGAGGCUUGAAUCCGGGAGAGGGAUGUGGAAUUCCAGGUGUAGCGGUGAAAUGCGUAGAUAUCUGGAGGAACACCGGUGGCGAAGGCGGCAUCCUGGACCGGUAUUGACGCUGAGGCGCGAAAGCGUGGGGAUCAAACAGG